UACGUAGGGGGCAAGCGUUGUCCGGAUUUAUUGGGCGUAAAGAGCGUGUAGGCGGCCAGGUGGGUCUGUGGUGAAAACUCGAGGCUUAACCUCGAGCUGUCGGCGGAAACCAUCUGGCUAGAGUCCGGAAGAGGAGAAUGGAAUUCCCGGUGUAGCGGUGAAAUGCGCAGAUAUCGGGAAGAACACCCGUGGCGAAGGCGGUUCUCUGGGACGGUACUGACGCUGAGACGCGAAAGCUAGGGUAGCAAACGGG
rnacentral:rRNA from 1 species